rnacentral:lncRNA from 1 species
UAUGCCCUGGAUGGCAAUGGAACAGAUACAUAAGCUGGAAGUGUUCUAGGGUUUGGGAAAAAAAAUCUAGAGCCCGGAGCAUUGUAAGGGCCAUGUGUAACUAGAACUGUGCAGACAGCAGGUUGAUCCUAGAUCACCUAAUAAGCCACAGAACACUUCUGGUGGAAGGGAUGUACGUCUGGUUUCCAGGCCAGAGUGUAACUGGACGAUAGGACAUCAUGGGCCUCGGGAGGCAACGGGAUGCUGGAAACAUUCCACAAAGCUGGAAUUCAAGGAGUGAGUAGAACCCUGGUGACCCCAGCCUCUGAGUGAUGUGGAGACAAGAUGGGGACUGUCAGGGCCACGGGAGAUGAGAAAUCAAUGGGAGGGGUGUCAAAAGGCCAUGGAGACCUCGGACCCUAAGAAUGAGGACUGAGGAGCUAGUUAUGUGGGGGUGGGGGACAGAGCUGGGGACCUGGAGGAGCUUGUGGAGGCAAAGGACGGGCGCACCGGAAGCCUGGCAGCCUGAGUCCUCAUUGGGAGAGAGGGCUGUGGCAGAUGGUUUUGGAGAGGGCUGGUGGGCUCUUGCAAGGCUGGGGUCUGAACUCCUGCAUCCCUGGAGGGAUUGAGGCCUGGGGACAAGGUAUCUAGGUCUCCAUGGGGAGAGCAGGGUCACGAGCUUCCGCGCAUGGUACCGCGCAGCCACCGUGGUGCGCAUCCACGAUGCCGAGAAGAGCGGCCACCGCCAGGUUCUUAUCACGCCGUGCUCCAAAGUCACAGGUUUCUGUGAGGAUGAAGCAUGGUUACAUUGGCGAAUUUGAAAUCAUAGAUGAUCACAGAGCUGCGGAAAUUGUUAACAGGCAUUCCUCUCUUCCCAUGAUAGUUUUAUGGUUUUCAGUUGUCAAUAAAGUGCUUACAUUAUGACUGUAAAUAUUGUCUGGACUACCUGCGCUCUAGAAGUCUUUGGGACUUCUCUCCACUGCCCUGCUGAACUGGACCCACCAUUUCCCUUUUUAAAUGCCUCAUUUUGUUGAAUAACUGCAGAAUAAAAAAAGUUUUCUUUUUACAAGACUUCCCUUAUUUUCAAUAAAACCCAUUUUUCCUAACACUUCUAGUGUUUGUAACACAGAUUGCCAGUUAUCUAAUUUAUAAUAUUGUCAAAUGGACCUAUUUGUGCCUUUCUCAGUCUUGUUAUGGUUGGAAGACCUUUGUAUUUUUCAUCUUUUUCCCUCCCCUCUGGGAUGCAACCCAAAUGCUUUCUACUCAUAUGUCUGUGAUUUACUAGUCUUCUGCUGUGUCUCAUCAAUUAAUAAAUCUAUCUACUGAAUUCUGAAUUUUUUUUUCAAUUCUAGAAUUUCCAUGAUUUUUUUCCUUGUAGUAGAUUCCAGAUAUUAAAAUUCUCCAUCUUAAAUACAAUUAAAAAUUUUUAAAUUGUCCAUCUUUUCCUUAUUUUGCGAUUAAUCAUAAUUAUUUUAAAGUCUCUAGUAACUCCAACAUCUGAAGCAUCUUUGGGUCUUUUUCUAUAACUUAUAUUUGGUUUCAAUUCAUUCCUCUAAUGUACCUGUUUUUUUAGUAAAUGGUGAACACUGUGUAUUAGAAAUCAGAGGCUGGAUAUCUUCCUCUAGUUUUCUUCUGGCAGUCAGCUCACUUAAAUCCUCAUGAGAUCUGUUUUAGGGUUCCUUAGGCCUGGCCUAUCUCAGUUAUGCCCCUACUCCUAGAUGGUGGCACUGGGAAGCUCACACAGGAUCCCUCCACCGUGGCAGGCCCUGAACUU